rnacentral:misc_RNA from 1 species
UUUCCGUAGGUGAACCUGCGGAAGGAUCAUUAUUGUAUAACCGAGGUGCGAGGGCUGUCGCUGACCCGAAAGGUCGUGCACGCCCGAGUGCCCUCACUCACAUCCAUCUCACCCCUAUGUGCACCACCGCGUGGGUCCCCCUUUGGCUUGUUCGGAGGGGGGCUUACGUUUUCACACAAACUUUGUAUGCAGUGUAGAAUGUAUUUUUUGUUUUUGCGAUCACGCAAUCAAUACAACUUUCAACAACGGAUCUCUUGGCUCUC